rnacentral:rRNA from 1 species
GUUUAUUUGCACGGCGUGGCUUCGGGACUGAGUGGAUGACGUCUGGGCCACCCUUGCGCGCGGACCCAGCCGUGCAGUGUGUGCGUCGCGUGUGUGCUGGGUGGAAAAGGGGUGGGCUGAGCAGUCGUGGGUGUCAGGGCAUCGAACAUGGGGUUUGAUGGAUGAGAGAGAGAGGGAGUUAACCCCACCAUGCCCAUGUCUCUCUCGUCUCUCCCGUUCCAACCAAAUCCGGGGCUGGCGGCGGCAAACCCUAGCGCUGCGGCGGCGGCGGCGGCAGACCCUAGCGCCAUGGACUGGCCGGUGCAGGGGACGGCGAUCACGGCCGGUUGAUGACGGCGCCUCAGGUCCAUAAAGUGUUGGCUCCUCUCCAUCGUCAUGACCAGCACCAAAGGUGCGUAUUCCCGUCACCUGUUGCGUUCGGUGUCUCCGUACAUUUCAGCCCCGUUCGAUGCCUCUCCUCCAGCCACACGACGUUCAUUUGCCUCUUUCUCUUCCCUGUGGACGUCACCUCCCCACGUUCUGGAUGUACCAUGAUUCUGGAUCGGGCACAAGUCGCCCCAAUAGGAGAGCAGGUCUGGUGUGGUUUCAUGGUGGGUGUUGAGGAGCAGGGGGCUGGGGAGGGAGUCGGCCAUCACUGCCUACCACUGCUCACGAGUCGUCGUGCCCCAUCCCCAACCUAGACUGCACAUCUACAGCUUCGAUCGGAUGAAGAAUACAAGAGGAAGACUAAGAACAAGUUUAUUUGGUUGACAGUUUAUAACCUCAGCAAGGAGCACGUGACAUUGACGCCAUCACUGAGCUCAAGAUGGUGCCUUGCAAUGAUCAUUGCACUUCUCUUCCAUACAUCAGUGCCACUUCCAAAGCGGAGUGCCUCCUAGAGGAUAGUCUCUAUUAUCAGAAGGGUGAAGCAGCACAGAAGACAAAGAAGGCAUAUUGUGCGAGAGUGGCGAUGGCAUGGACGAGCUUGCCUGCUCCCAGUUCGGGUACCAAUGGGACAGCGACACGUUCUAGCUUGCACUGAAUGUGAUCGUAUAGAGACACGAUGGAUAUGCCCAAUCCUACAGUGGCGUAUGGAGCCGGCUUCGUGUGAGAUGACAGUGGGUUAGCGGUCCAUCAUGCACGUGUUCCGUUGGUACAAAUCUCUUCUCGCGGUACACAACGACUACCAUCAGUUGCGGCCCGGCGCGCAAACGUCGUCUUCCUAAUAAACAGAUAAGGGUGCACAACAUUGUGGAUCCAACCUUGCCGGCGACGCUGAGAAAAAAAGGCAAAUCUAUCCAUUCGGGCACCGCACGAGGCGAGAAGCUAGGAGCUAUGGUGAUGGCGGCGGCGGGAGGCGGGAGGCGGGAGGCGACGGAUUCGAGUUCCUAGCAGAUCCGGUUCACAGGGCAGUACAAAGUAGAGGAGGUCUGUAAAGGGAAAAUCUAUUUCGUGCGAUGAUACCAUCCAGAGAAACAUGAAAAGUGGUGCGGGAUGUGUACAAAGUGGAAGUUGUUGAGGAAGGGAGGGAACUGAUAUGUGAGUGUGCUAAUUUCGAGCACACAUUCUUGCUCUGCUGCCAUGCAGUUAAGGUCCUUGAUUUCGUCGGCAUAUACCAGAUACCAGCAAAACAUAUUCUGAAACGUUGGACAAAGGAUGCAAGAGAUGUAUUGUCAACCCACUUAUCACACCUUCAGAAGGAUAGCAUUUCAGUGAAUUCAAUAACCUUUAGGCACUCAAAUCUUCACACACAUGCACUCGAAGUGGUGAGGCUGGAGAUGCAAAUACAGAGGCCUAUGACUAUGAGUGUGCAAUGGACAUCUUGAAGAUAGCAAUGGAUAAACUGACACCAAUAGCCGCCAUGCGAGAUGGAAUGUGAUUGCAUUGGAAGACAAAAUUCAGCCAAACAAGAGAUGUCUACACCUGAUUCAGGCGGGGGCUCUGUUAGCCAUGUGUCUUCCAGCUCUAGCUCGAGUGCCCUUGCAGUCAGCGAUGAGCAUGACCGGCAUCUUCAGUUCUUGCCAUCUGAUGAUCAUGUCGCUGGCGGCAGUGCUCCAGGGCAUGCGGCUUUCGUGCAGGUCGGUGAUUGAGGAUACCGUGUACGGGAGGGCUGAUGGUGUAUCGAUGGAAGAUGAAGGUUGCGAAGAUGAGUCACAAGUCCAGUCCCGUUCUUCAACCGUGGAAGAGGUGGGUACCUAUGAUCCAGAAAAUCAGAGCUACGCCGGCGGUGAUAACCAGGGGCGAACCCACGUUAUGGUGAGUGGGGGCCUAGGCACCCACUGAAAAUAUGAAAUUUCGGUCCGCCACUGGUGAUAACUGGUCCGAGACAGGAAGCUACUCCGAGUUAAGGACCAAGGUUGCUGAUGGAUCCAUCAGCGGCGUCGAUGGUGAGAGACGCGCAGCAAAGCGAGCAAGAGUUGAGGACUGAUGUGUUCCGAAGAUGCUUAAAGCUGUUACCCUUAGUAACCGCUGAACUCAGCGGUGAAAUCCUAGACUAAAAAAGGUGUUUGUGUUAAGAUUAGUGGCGUACAAGUUUGCGCCAGUGUGCUGCGGCGGGUUCAAUGUCGAUCUAGGAGUCCUGGUAGGUUUGUGUGGAAAAAAUAAAAGGAGGUUAGGUUUUGGUUUGUCGAAAUCCACGUAUGUUGAUUAGAUUAUGUUUUCAUGUGUGGUGUCUGCCCCCAAUGACUCGUCAACUCAUGCUCGUUUGCAACUUUGGUACAUCGAACAUAUAAAUCGUCGUAGACUACCCGCCGUUCUGAGGGCGUUGCGCGCGCCAGACAUUUUUGACCGCCCGAUAAAGUUACAACAGUGAAAUUUUGUCUGGUGGCGGCUGGUCAACCGUCCGCUAAUUUUCACAUUCACUGCCGCUUCAAUGGAGUAUGAAGGGUGGGGUCGUGAGCCUGUAGGGUCAGCAAACUAAGGGUGGGUUUAUUUGAGGGCUACGUGAAUGAAUGGAUGAGGGUGGGCUGUUCCCGAUUGGCAAGGGCGAGAGAGCGGCUUGAAGAGCCACGACCAAUCCUUUCCCGAAAACGUAGCGCAAAAGGGACCAAUCAUAUAAGCAGAGUAUUCCAGAUUGAGUAAUGCUAGAGAUAUAGACACAUUCUAUAUACAUUUUGAUGUUUUAGCUUCCAUAGUGAGAGCAAGUUACAAGACCAGAUGCGAUCUUAUAUUUCAGAGUUUUGUAAAUUUCUUAGUCGGUGGAUCUGACUAAUGCAUAUAUAUUUGUGAGAGGUAUUAUUCAUAUGUCAAUUUUGUAAUUUGAGUAGGCUGAAACUAAUGGUUUCAGAUGGUCUGCGUAUUAACUUUGAUCAGAACCUGUAUCUAAAGAAACUGAGUAGAGGGUCGCCUUUUAUGAUGGAAUUUGCAGCAGGUGUGAUCCCUUGCUCGUGCUCUCUGCUUGUCCUCAUGCUAGACCUACCCUUUGCUUGUCGCCCUACAUUUUAUUCAGAGCGGUGUCAGGACUCAUCUCCGGCGCCUACAUGGCGGGCAGAGGGCCUAAGCUCUAGAUGAGCUCCUCUUCACCCUGCAAGUGUUGUGUUACUCUGCUAUUUUUAUUAUCUCAACAUUUCUAAUUUUAUGAGUCCGAGAUUACUUGAAUGAUUCGUGGGAAUUGGAAUGUGGGGAUAAGAAUUUUUCUAAAGAAAAACCCAGUAUCAACAUGUUAUAUCGAGGGCCUUGAAAGCUAAUGGUGUCGCAAGAUGUCUUUUUUUCACCUUUUCAUUUUUGUUGGGAGAAAGGCGAUGCUCUUUCUUGGUCAAAAGGAUGGUAAUCUCUCACAGAUACUUUGUUAUGUCUUAUACAAUAAUAUGCUGACAAAUCACAUGCUGAAUAACCUUUAUCCUCAUCUGUAGUACUUUAGGACACACUUUUCUAAGAACAGCCUCUUCCCACACAUGGAUGCUGAUCAUGGUGAGCUGCCAAUAAGCACUGGAGACGGAACUACCAGUGUCACGUCCCGUUUUAUAAAGGGUGUUGACAACAGGGCUACUAUCACUAAAAACUGGAGCAGCUUUUUCGUAAGGCAAAGAUGAAGAAAGGCCAUGCCUAUGCCUUCGCCUUCAAGUGCACAUCAAAGGGGUUGCACAUGAUUGUCUAUCCUAUCCUAUAUAAGCAGAUCGCAAAAGCCCUUUGCUUUAUAACUCAAUAUUAGUAUAAGUACCUACCAAGACUUCUAUAUUUAGCAUCCUUUUGGAUCGUAUGUAAGCCACCUAAGAUCAUCCUGUAUCGUAUGACUAUUGGUUGUUUGCUGGUAAGACCAUCAUGAAGUGUGCUUUUGGGGCAGCAGUGCAGAAAGAAAUAUCUUCCUGUAUCUGUUGGAUGUUUUUCCCUCUGUUACAGAUCAGCACUAGGUUCUCUUAAAACACUAUUUAUCAGCACUAAGUUUCUAUUUGCUUAUGAUCUAAUCAGUGUUCAAUUUUUUAUGUCUUUAGACUGAUCCUACUACAACUUGCUUUGUCAAACCAAUGUAUGCUAUUAUCAGUAAUGUCAUUACUUCCUUUUCAUCUGUCAUGAUACCAUAUAAUGAGAUAAAAGUAUAUCUCUUAAACUAGCACAUACACAUGGUUUGAAGACUCGUCUGACCGAUGCUUUUUGCGCCAUUGGCGCAAUGAGUCAUGCCAGCUUUUGAGUAUAUUCAUCGCCCACGCAAAGCAAGCUCAAUCCGAAAGUUCAAAGGCAAGAAAAUCCAUCUAAAGUCUGGAAAGUACAUUCUCCAUGGUGAGCCUUGCAUCCACUACUUAGAUGAGUUUAGUCACCACAUUGUGUGGGGCAACACAGUUACGCUCUACAACCAUAAUGUUCGUAGACUGCGAAAGAUCAUCUGCAGCACCACCACGCCUGAUCGCUACUAUGUGUGCCACAUGACAGAGACAUUUGCAACACACGGCAAAAGAAUGUUGUAGCAUUUAUUACAAAUGGGGAAGUAGUUCAUGGGUCUGGUCUUAAAAGUGAUGAUGACGACAAGAGUUGUCUCUUGAAUGUGAUUAUCCAGUCAUUAUGGCAUUUAAGGGGAUUCCGAGAUGAUCUGCUCAAAACAUCGUCACACCAUAAACAUGUUGGAGAUCCUGGUGCUGUUUCUUGUGUUGUAUGUGUGUUAUGUCAUAUUUUUACCGAGUUGAGCAAAGUAUCUAAGGGGGAAGGAGAGGCUGUUGCACCUACUUCUUUGAGGAUGGCUUUGAGCAUCUCAUUCCCCGCUGAGAAGUUAAUUCGGAUGGGACAAAUGAAUGAUGCAUCUGAGGUAUUGGAGGCAAUCUUAAGACGCAUGCAUGAUUCAUUCACAUAUCGUGCUGACUACCUUGCUGAAUCUCACGAGCGCAAUUGUAGUGGCUCAUGGGACUGUGCAAACGAUGAAUGCAUCGCACACGAUAUGUUCGGUGCAGACGUCCAUGAAAGGAUGAUCUGCUACAAUUGCGGGUUGGAGUCUAGACAACAAAAAUAUACAUCAUUUCUCCAUUAUAUCAAUGCUUGUUCACUUAAUUAUGCAAUGAGGAUCUGUCCAGGCAAUUCAUUUGAUGAUAUUUUGAAGGCUGUGAUGAUGGAUGUCCACAGAACUUGUGAUCCUGAUGUGGGUGGCUGUGGAAAAUCAAAUCAUAUGAGCCACACUCUCUCUAGUUCCCCUUAUGUUUUCACAGUUGCUUUGGGAUGGCAGACUGGAAAUGGGAGUGUGAGGGACAUGCUACCUCAUAUUUUGGCUGCCCUUGGGACUGAGAUAGACAUCAGCGUUAUCUACCGCGGUACAAGUCGACCGAGCAAACAUUCCCUGGUGUCAAUGGCUUGCUUCUACGGCCAGCGCUAUAUCUGAGGUUGUUGGUGAUUGGAUUCAAGUGCUCAGUAUGUGCGAGGAAAAGGAAAUGCAACCCCUGCUUCUUUUCUUCGAAGCUGCAAAUUGAUUUACUGUUCUUCUGCCGAAAAGUUUUGGCUUAAGGAAGUAUGUUGAUUUGCCAUGAAGCGUUGGAAUGCUCUUUUUAGUUUUGACAUAUUAGUCUAGUUAAAUUGUUAACUGUGUCUCUUUUAUGGUUUAUGGUUUAUGAUUGGUCCACCGCAUCUCGUCUAAUCGCCUAUAUAGAACUUGGUGCAAAGUGU